ensembl:lncRNA
GAAAAAAUUCCAUCCAGCCCCGGGGAGGAGGGAGCGGGGCGGGGAGGCCGGGCCGGGGAGCGUGACGCAGGGAGGAGGGAAGGGACAAAAGGGGCCGGGAGGCGGUAGGGUGAGCCGGCAGCGCUCCCGCUCCUCCCUCCCUCCUCCCUCGGCCGGGGCCAGUUCUCUACUCUCCGCUUUCUUUCGUACCCUCCACCUCUCCUCCCUUUCCUUCACUCUGCCGGCCUCCUCCUGGCCCUGUGCUCCCCCCACCCCACCCCCCGCCCCCGUGUCUCCGUCUCCGCGUCUCUCUUUCUCCUUACAUCACGCCCACCCCCUCCACCCCAAUCAGGGUCUUCUCCUCUCCUCGCUCUGUCUCCCCCUUUCUGCUCUCCCAGCCUCCUUCCCCUCCCUCCGCUUCGGUCCCUCCACCCGCCCACCCACUGGGGGACAGAAAGGUGAAUCAGACCCAGAUCUGCCCUUGCAGACCGAGCUCACAGUCUGAUGGAGGAGACAGACCCAGACGCAGACAGUUCCAAUCCUGGGCGAUCGGGAACAGCAUGCCAAUGGAAAAUAAAAACUCCCCGCCCUUCACGAGGCCUUCCACAAUUCCCUGGAACAGAAACUUUGAGCCAGGAAGACACUUCAACCUGCUCUGAAGUAGGUCUGAAUCAAGCACUCACUUAUUAAUGCUGUAGAAACAGGGACACGAAGGUUAUGAAGAACUUCGAAGUAGCAGAGAAUCCUUCCAUGGGAGGGAUCAACCCCAAACCUGAUAUAAUCCUAUAGCACCAUCAGAGAAUGCUUCCAAAUUCAAGACAGUGCCCCACAGCACCACUUAAUCCCCACAGCCAUACAGCAUGACACACAGAAGCUUACUCCCUGACCAGAGAUUGAACCCGAGCCCCCCAGCACGGAAGCUCAGAGUUCUAACCACUGGACCACCAGUAAAUUCCCUUGGAAGACACAGUGAGAGACUGGCUGUCUGCAAGCCAGGAAACACCGCCUCACCAGGGAACUGAAUCAACCAGCCCCUUGCUCUUGGACUUUUCAGCCUCCAGGACUGUGAG